ensembl:lncRNA
CGUGAUUUUUGCUUAAAUGGGGGAUUUCCGAUGAGAAAAUGCUUGAUUUUUGCUUAAAUGGGGGAUUUGCAAAGAAAGACCGCGUGAUUUUCGGGUUAAACAAUAGAUUUCCGAAUAGAAAACGUGUGAUUUUCGGGUUAAUGGGGGUUUCUCGAAGAGAAAACGCGUGAUUUUCGGGUCAAAUGGGGGAUUCUCGAAGAGAAAACGCGUGAUUUUCGGCUUAAAUGGGGGAUUCUCGAAGAGUAACCACCAGAUUUUCGCUUAAAUGAAGGAUUUGCAAAGAGGAAGCGUGUGAUUUUUGCUUAAAUGGGGGAUUCUCAAAGAGAAAACGCGUGAUUUUGGGGUUAAGUGGGGAAUUUCCGAAUAGAAAACGCGUGAUUUUUGCUUAAAUGGCAUAUUUCCGAAGAGAAAACGCAUGAUUUUCAGGUUAAAUGGGAAUUCUCGAAGAGAAAACGCGUGAUUUUCGGCUUAAAUGGGGGAUUCCCGAAGAGAAAACACGUGAUUUUUGGUUUAAAUGGGGGAUUCCAGAAGAGAAAACGCGUGAUUCUCGCUUAAAUGGGGGAUCUCAAAAAGAAAACGUGUGAUUUUCGGGUUAAAUGGGGGAUUCUCGAAGAGGAAAUGUGUGAUUUUCGCUUAAAUGGUGGAUUGUCGAAGAGAAAACGCGUGAUUUUCAAGUUAAGUGGGGGAUUCUCAAAGAAAAAACGCGUGAUUUUCGCUUAAAUGGGUGAUUCUUGAAGAGAAAACGCGUGAUUUUUGCUUAAGUGGGGGAUUCUCGAAGAAAAAAACGCGUGAUUUUCAGUUAAAUCGCGGAUUCUCGAAGAGAAAACGUGUGAUUUUUGGGUUAAAUGGGUGAUUCUCCAGGAGAAAUUGCUUGAUUUUCUCUUAAAUGGGGGAUUCUCAAAGAGAAAACGCAUGAUUUUCGGGUUAAGUGGGGGAUUUCCGAAUUGAAAAUGCAUGAUUUUUGCUUAUAUGGCGGAUUUCCAAAGAGAAAACGUGAUUUUCACUUAAAUUUGGGAUUCUCGAAGAGAAACCACCUGAUUUUUGCUUAAAUGAAGAAUUUGCGAAGAGGAUACGUGGGAUUUUCACUUAAAUGGGGGAUUUGCAAAGAGAAAUCGCGUGAUUUUCGGGUUAAAUGGGGGAUUCUCGAAGAGAAAACGCGUGAUUUUCGGGUUAAAUGGGGGAUUCUCGAAGAGAAAACGCGUGAUUUUCGGAUAAAUGGGGGAUUUGCGAAGAGAAAACGCGUGAUUUUCGGUUAAAUGGGGAUUCUCGAAGAGAAAACGCGUGAUUUUCGGGUUAAAUGGGGGAUUCUCGAAGAGAAAACGCGUGAUUUUCAGUUAAAUGGGAAAUUCUCGAAGAGAAAACGCGUGAUUUUCGGCUUAAAUGGGGGAUUCCCGAAGAGAAAACCGUGAUUUUUGGUUUAAAUGGGGGAUUCCGGAAGAGAAAACGCGUGAUUCUCGCUUAAAUGGGGGAUCUCAAAAAGAAAACGUGUGAUUUUCGGGUUAAAUGGGGGAUUCUCGAAGAGGAAAUGUGUGA